rnacentral:rRNA from 1 species
UACGAAGGGGGCUAGCGUUGUUCGGAAUUACUGGGCGUAAAGCGUGCGCAGGCGGCUUCUCAAGUCAGGGGUGAAAGCCCAGAGCUCAACUCUGGACCUGCCUUUGAGACUGAGAGGCUUGAGUACGGGAGAGGUGAGUGGAAUUCCCAGUGUAGAGGUGAAAUUCGUAGAUAUUGGGAAGAACACCGGUGGCGAAGGCGGCUCACUGGCCCGUAACUGACGCUCAUGCACGACAGCGUGGGGAUCAAACAGG